AAAAACUAAAUUUAGCAAAAGCAAACAUCUGAGUGUCCAAGGUUAUUGGUGCUGUGUCCAGAGUUAGAUAUGUUUCUGUGCCGAAGUUGCACAUAUAAGAACUGGCUCCCACAUAACCCUGAACUGGACAAGCAUGCUGAAAAAUGGAUGGCUUUAUGGAUGGGUGGAUGGUCUAGGCAGCUAACCCUUCCUUGAGCAAUCUAAUAACAUCAUGGUGCCAUAGUGGAGCAGUGACCCGAAGAUUGACAACAAAGACUCUCUGAUGUCACUUCUGGUUUCCGCCUGUCUAGACCUGUUCUUCCUGCCCAGGACCUAAAUCUCUGGAAGCAACACCAUCUUCCAGCUGAUAGAGACUCAGUUUUCUGUGGUGUAACCUGCGCCACCACCAUCUGAUCAAAGCACCAUGAUGUCCCCACAUUGAUGGAUUAAAGGCCAAAAGUCCAUGUGACCGUCAUCAUCAAGUCCUUCCAUGAAAACCCUGAAUACAAUGAGGACUGAUCAUCUAUGUUAGGUAGAAUGCCUAGAAGGGGCUGGGCGGUCUCAUGGCCUGGAACCCCUGCAAAUUUUACUUUUUUUUCUCCAGCCGUCUGGAGUUUUUUUUUUUGUUUUUUCUGUCCUUUCUGGCCAUUGGACCUUACUUUUAUUCUAUGUUAAUUAGUGUUCUCUUAUUUUAAUUCUUACUUUGUCUUUUUUUCUCUUUCUUCAUCAUGUAA